rnacentral:rRNA from 1 species
CAGCCGCCGCGGGAAUACGGAGGGUGCAAGCGUUAAUCGGAAUUACUGGGCGUAAAGCGCACGCAGGCGGUCUGACAAGUCAGAUGUGAAAUCCCCGGGCUUAACCUGGGAACUGCAUUUGAAACUGUCAGGCUGGAGUCUUGUAGAGGGGGGUAGAAUUCCAGGUGUAGCGGUGAAAUGCGUAGAGAUCUGGAGGAAUACCGGUGGCGAAGGCGGCCCCCUGGACAAAGACUGACGCUCAGGUGCGAAAGCGUGGGGAGCAAACAGGAUUAGAUACCCCGGUAGUCCCUGUCUCUUAUAU